ACGACGAAAUCGAUUGUCAUCCCCAUAUAAAUUUAAAGAACACUGUGUUGAUCUGACGGGAUAUCAUUCGCAAUAAUUCAACUUUCUUCAAGUUUUUGCUAUUAUUCGAUUUACAUUUGAAUUAUGGCUUAGUCUUCAUCAAAAGAACGCGACAUAAAUUUGAAUUUAUAUAUAUAGUAUACAGUUUUCAAAUAAAUUUUUUUUUUGUUAUUAUGUAAUUUAAACGCGAUGUGUUUAAAUUAAUAUUAAAAUAUUGGCAAAUAUUUAAUAAUUAUAUGAUAUAAUUACAAUAUAAUUAUUUAUACACGCAUUUUUAAGUCAUUAUUGUAUUUAUCCGUUUGCAUUGUGAUUAAGAUUUUUUUUUGAGAAUGAAAGACAUUUUAACGCGUAUACGACGAAGCUCAUUAUGUCACUUGUUAAAGCAGCGAUAAACUUGCAUUCAAGAAUGGUGAUAUUGAGAAUUCGUCAUCUCAUUGUUUUUUGCAUUGUUUUAUUACGAGAGGAAGCUUAUGGAAAAUAUUUAGAGGGUCUCAACGUAAACUUAGGAGACGCUCUUUUAUUUCUGAGAGAAUAUGAUAGCGCAGCUUCGUUAAUGUGCACAAGAGUGACAAUGGCCCAAUGGAAUUUUGCGACAAACGUUACUGAUGCAAAUCAUCAGAGAAUGGUGGAUGAACAAACAUUAAAGCUAAAAUUUGAAAGAGCAUCUUGGCGGAAAGCAAUCACUUUUGCUUGGAGUCGAAUACCAGAUCCUUUAGCAAGACGGGAACUUAAAAUGAUUGUUACAAAAGGUCGGAAUUCCUUAUCAGACGAAAAAUUUAAUGAGAUACACCAUUUAAUAGCCGAGAUGAAAGAGAUUUAUAGCAAAGCCAGAGUAUGUCCGUACAAACAAAUUGAUGGAGAGUGUAAUUUGAAUCUAGAUCAUGAUAUUAAUAAAAUAAUGAUACAAUCAAAAAAUUAUGACGAAUUAUUGUAUUAUUGGCACGCUUGGCAUGAAGCAACUGGUCCACAGCUUCAAAAUAAAUAUUUGAGAUAUGUUCAAUUGGCUAAUCGAGCAGCUAAAUUAAACGGUUUUGCCGAUGCUGGCGAUCAAAUGAGAGAGUUAUUCGAAGAUGAAUAUUUCCAGCAAAAUAUAGCAGAAGUGAUGUCAGCCAUCUCUCCGCUGUACAAGAAUCUUUUUACUUACGUACGAUCAAAACUUAUUGAAAGAUACGGCGACAGAAUACGAGAGGACGGGCCUUUACCGGCGCAUGUUUUAGGAAAUAUGUGGGCUCAAAAUUGGGAAGGUCUGUUCGAAUUGAUGCAACCUUUUCCUGCGAGCAGAAAACUCGAUGUGACCGUAGAUAUAAUGAUUCAGGGUCUCACACCAAUGAGGAUGUUCCAAAUAGCGGAGGAGUUUUUCACUUCACUCGGAAUGAAGCCGAUGCCGCCGGAAUUUUGGAAAUUUUCUAUAUUUGAAAAACCCAUUGAUAGAGAAGUUAAAUGCACUCCCAGUGCGUGGGAUUUUUGUAACAGAAUCGAUUACAGAAUAAAACAGUGUACUAGAAAUACAAUGGAGGAUUUGUUAUCGACGCAUUACGAAAUGGCACAUUUGCAAUAUUUUUUACAAUACAAAGAUCAACCAUUGUUAUUUCGAAAUGAGGCCAUGCCAGGAUUCUACGAAGCUGUUAGCGAUGCUAUUGGUUUAUCUAUCUUUACUCCACAACAUUUGCAUAAAAUCGGAUUGUAUAAGAAUUUAACGAAUGAUUAUGAUAGCAGCAUAAAUUUUCUGAUGCUAAUGGCUCUCCGCAAAGUAGCUUAUAUGCCGUUUGCUUAUAUAGUUGAUCAGUGGAGAUGGCAUAUCUUUAGCAAUGGCGUGGAAGAUAUGACAGCACGUUGGUGGGAAUUAAGAUUGCAAUAUCAGGGUAUUGUUCCACCUAUGCCUAGAGCUGAAAGAAAUUUCGAUCCGGCAGCGAAGUAUCACAUCCCAGCGGACAGUCUUUAUGUCAAAUAUUUUGUAAGCAUUGCUCUACAAUUUCAAUUGUUCCAAUCAUUGUGUGAGAUUUCUGGUCAUACAGGUGAAUUGCACACUUGCGAUAUUUAUAGAUCACGGGAAGCAGGUCGAUUAUUAUCAGAUAUUCUGUCAAUGGGAUCUUCUAGAUUAUGGCAAGAUGUUAUCAGGCAAAUGACAAGAGGUAGAGUAAAUAGGAUAGAUGCUGGUGCCAUGCUCAAAUAUUUUGAGCCUUUAAAUGAGUGGUUAAAACGUCAAAAUGAGAUGCAAUCUGUGAUCGGCUGGAUCACGAAUCGUGAUGACAGAGGAAUCUUUCAUUUUGUUUCAGCAUUGUUUGCCGAAUGGUAUCAAAAUAGUGGAGAAAAAAUUAAAUUAUGGAGUUUAUUUACUUUACUGCUCGUUUAUAAAGCUUUUAUUUAUUAAUGGUUAUAUAUAUUGAAUGUAUCUAAUAUGUAUCUAAUUCGAAAAAAGUGUAUACUUUUAUCCCAUCCAUUUUGAGGCAACGGAUUUAUUUACAAUCUACAAUCUACAUUUGCUUCUACAAUAUCUACGGAUCCGUCACUUCAAAAGAAAAUAAAAUUCAUCACUCACCGGCACUGAUGCGCAACAGCGGAGAUUUGGU